AUGUUUGUACUUAAUUUUGAUUAUUUGCAUUCACGAGGGUGUCAUGGAAAAUUCAAGUUGCACAUGUUUUCCUUUUGUUGAAUGCAAAAUAGAUACAGAAUGUUCUUUUGGCUGUAUCUCAGUACAGUACAGGGACGACUGUGAUCUCAUAAAUUCAAUAUCCAUCCCAUUAGCCGUUAUUGCCGUGUUGAUUAUUUGCCUCUGCACUGUUGCAAUAAUAAGAAUGAGAUGUGCUUGUCGUGAUUGUAAUACAUGUACUUCUCGACCCAGGACCGCGGCCAAUGCAGAGAGCCAGAUGACUAAUCUUUCCUUUGAUACUUUUGAUGAAAUUAAAAGAACAAGCACCAAUCUCGAUCGACACGUUUCUCUCGAGGAACAAAGUGAUAUUCCGCCAUCUUAUGAAUCAGUUAUGUCGAGAUCAAACGAAGCUUUUCAGGCAACUGAUUCUUUACCUCCGUCUACCUCGGUCUCAAACAAGGAUUCAAGUGAAGAUGUAGAUCCGCCACCAGGUUACGUAUCAUAGAUAUCAUAAUACAACGACGAUUUACGAAGUACAUGUCAAGUGACGUUUCACAAUCAGAUGAUUACAAAACCCGGCGUAUAUUAUUAUGAAUGAUAUUAUAGUCGAUCGUACCUUGUAAAACACGUUAUAUAUAAACGUAUGUAACAACAUUAUUCCAAUGCUUGUUGACUAAUGGCGUUAAUGGUAAACAAAAUUAUGUUUAAACAUUAAUAGAAAAAUUGAAUGAUAAGUAUGAUAAUCAAUAUGAAAUGAUGCAUCCAUGUAUGACUCGAUAAAUAAAACAAGGUGUGUGUUUGAGACUGCAAGUCUUUUGAAUUGUAUGAUGGCAUUUAAUCAAAACAAAUAAAUAUUCAACGGC
rnacentral:misc_RNA from 1 species